UACGUAGGUGGCAAGCGUUGUCCGGAAUUAUUGGGCGUAAAGGAUGCGUAGGCGGCCUUUUAAGUGGGAUGUGAAAUACCCGGGCUUAACCCGGGAAUGGCAUUCCAAACUGGAAGGCUAGAGUGCAGGAGAGGAAAGUGGAAUUCCCAGUGUAGCGGUGAAAUGCGUAGAGAUUGGGAGGAACACCAGUGGCGAAGGCGACUUUCUGGACUGUAACUGACGCUGAGGCAUGAAAGCGUGGGGAGCAAACAGG
rnacentral:rRNA from 2 species